GAUCAUGGCUCAGGAUGAACGCUAGCGACAGGCCUAACACAUGCAAGUCGAGGGGCAGCGAAGAGGUAGCAAUACCUCUGUCGGCGACCGGCGCACGGGUGAGUAACACGUAUGCAAUCCACCUGUAACAUGUGGAUAACCCGGAGAAAUCCGGACUAAUACCCCAUAAUAUGGGCGCUCCGCAUGGAGAGUCCAUUAAAGAGAGCAAUUUUGGUUACAGACGAGC
rnacentral:rRNA from 1 species